rnacentral:rRNA from 1 species
GUCUAUGGCCAUGUCACCCUGACGUGCCCGAUCCCGUCUGAUCGCGGACGCUAAGCAGGGUCGGGCCCGGGUUCGUACUUGGAUGGGAGACCACCUAGGAAGACCGGGUGCUGUAGGCG